rnacentral:rRNA from 1 species
UGGGGAAUAUUGGACAAUGGGGGCAACCCUGAUCCAGCCAUGCCGCGUGAGUGAUGAAGGCCUUCGGGUUGUAAAGCUCUUUUGGCGGGGACGAUGAUGACGGUACCCGCAGAAUAAGCCCCGGCUAACUUCGUGCCAGCAGCCGCGGUAAGACGAAGGGGGCUAGCGUUGUUCGGAAUUACUGGGCGUAAAGCGAGUGUAGGCGGUUGCCGUAGUCAGGUGUGAAAGCCUUGAGCUCAACUCAAGAAAUGCACUUGAUACUGGGUGACUAGAGGACCGGAGAGGAUAGUGGAAUUCCCAGUGUAGUGGUGAAAUACGUAGAGAUUGGGAAGAACACCAGUGGCGAAGGCGGCUAUCUGGACGGUUACUGACGCUAAGACUCGAAAGCGUGGGGAGCAAACAGGAUUAGAUACCCUGGUAGUCCACGCCGUAAACGAUGGGUGCUAGACGUUGGCGAGCUUGCUCGUCAGUGUCGCAGCUAACGCGUUAAGCACCCCGCCUGGGGAGUACGGCCGCAAGGUUGAAACUCAAAAGGAAUUGACGGGGUCAUAGCUG